AUACGUAGGGGGCGAGCGUUGUCCGGAAUGAUUGGGCGUAAAGGGCGCGUAGGCGGCCUGUUAAGUCUGGAGUGAAAGUCCUGUCUUCAAGAUGGGAAUUGCUUUGGAUACUGAUGGGCUUGAGUGCAGGAGAGGUUAUCGGCAUUCCCGGUGUCGCGGUGAAAUGCGGAGAGAUCGGGAGGAACAGCAGUGGCGAAGGCGGGUAACUGGGCUGCAACUGACGCUGAGGCGCGAAAGUGUGGGGAGCAAACAGGAUUAGAUACCCUGGUAGUCCCCACUGUAAACGAUGAAUGCUAGGUGUAAGAGGUAUCGACCCCUUUUGUGCCGGAGUUAACACAAUAAGCAUUCCGCCUGGGGAGUACGGCCGCAAGGUUGAAACUCAAAUGAAUUGACGGGG
rnacentral:rRNA from 1 species